ensembl:ncRNA asRNA:CR45829 antisense RNA:CR45829
AGGCUAGCUACAAUAACUAUAAUAUGUUGGGUCAACAAGUUCCAGUAACGCACGCAAAGGAAAUUAGAUUGAAGAUGGUUCCUACCGAGCAUCUGAAAUACUCAAUAUCACUGCCCUUUUCGCGACAAUGAUAGUACCCAGAGCAGUCAGCGGGAUCACCAAACAAUCCAAGCCGCUGGCACUUUCCAGACGAACUGGGCAACUCGUCGUCAUCAGAUCCUGUGUUCAGGCAAAUCUGCAGCUCGUCAUCAAAGGUAAAGCCCGUUGGACAGUAGUUAAGAUGCCAUUUGCCAUCGAUGCAGAGGCAGAAGACAUCGCUUGCCGUGCUGUUAGGACAUGGGGAUGGAGUAUAAUCGUCCUGGCACUCAACGCUUCCCACCCGGCAGACCAAUCGGUUGGCAUCGAAGUAGGUUCCUUCAGGGCAUUUCCAGAUCUGAAGGUGCUUAUCUUUGCACACGCAAAACUCGUCCAUUUCUGUGGCCAUCGGACAUUUGCCGAUUUGGUGAUUGGUACAGCUGGUAGUGUCUGUAGAUACGCAGGCUUGGAUAGUUUCGUUAAAGUAGUAAUCAUCUGGACAGGAUUCAGCAGCUGCAUCCAAUCUGAGCUCCAGAUAACUGCCGUUCCCCAACCCUUUUCCCGUUUGAAACAACAGAAAAGUUAGGAGGCAGAUAAUCAGGCGAGAUGAAUCCAUGUUGCAAACUUUCUAAGUAGACCUCUUCACACUCCGCCUUAUAUAGUACCUCACAACCAAACGCAGAAUGUUUCGGUAUAAUUAAUAGAUAAACUGCAAUGUUGUCACGAAAAAAACAUUCUAUGGAACAUUUAUGACCUAGUCACAG